rnacentral:tRNA from 1 species
GGGCCUAUGGUCUAGUUGGUCAUGACGUCGCCUUGACAAGGCGGAGGUCUCCGGUUCGAAUCCGGAUAGGCCCA